rnacentral:misc_RNA from 1 species
UCCGGUUUAUCACCGGCAGUCUCCAUAGAGUUCUCGCCAUUACGCGUUAGUAACUAUGAAUAAGGGUUGCGCUCGUUGCGGGACUUAACCCAACAUCUCACGACACGAGCUGACGACAGCCAUGCAGCACCUGUGUUCCCGCCAGCCGAACUGAAGGGCACCAUCUCUGGCGCCCAUACGGGACAUGUCAAAGGUUGGUAAGGUUCUUCGCGUUGCUUCGAAUUGAACCACAUGCUCCACCGCUUGUGCGGGCCCCCGUCAAUUCCUUUGAGUUUCAGCCUUGCGGCCGUACUCCCCAGGCGGGGCACUUCAUGCGUUAGCGCCGGUACUCCAAGGGUCGCUCCCCGGAGCACCUAGUGCCCAUCGUUUACGGCGUGGACUAC